rnacentral:rRNA from 1 species
CCGACGGUGAGGGGUGAAAGCUGGGGGAGCAAACCGGAUUAGAUACCCGGGUAGUCCCAGCCGUAAACGAUGUGCGUUAGGUGUAUCGGUGACCACGAGUCACCGAGGUGCCGAAGAGAAAUCGUGAAACGUACCGCCUGGGAAGUACGGUCGCAAGGCUGAAACUUAAAGGAAUUGGCGGAGGAGCACCACAACAGGUGGAGCCUGCGGUUUAAUCGGACUCAACGCCGGAAAACUCACCAGAUAA